GGCUGCUAUGGGGAUAAAAGGAGAGAAAGUCAUGGUGUGGCCUCCAUCCUCCCCUGACCUCAAUCCUAUUGAGAACCUUUGGAGCAUCCUCAAGCAAAAGAUCUAUGAGGGUGGGAGGCAGUUUACAUCCAAACAGCAGCUCUGGGAGGCUAUUCUGACAUCUUGCAAACAAAUUCAAGCAGAAACUGUCCAAAAACUCACAAGUUCAAUGGAUACAAGACUUGUGAAGCUGCUAUCAAAUAAGGGGUCCUAUGUUAAAAUGUAACGUGACCUGUUAAAAUGUUUAAAAAGUUAAAAUGUUGUUAUAAGUUUGAUUGAAAUAGCUUUUGAUUUCAGUAAAUAUGCUGCAAACACAAC